rnacentral:rRNA from 1 species
UGCGUAGGCAGCAAGCGUUGUUCGGAAUUACUGGGCGUAAAGAGUGUGUAGGCGGUGCUCUAAGUUCGGUGUGAAAUCUCCCGGCUCAACUGGGAGGGUGCGCCGGAAACUGGGGUGCUGGAGCGCGGGAGAGGAAAGCGGAAUUCCUGGUGUAGCGGUGAAAUGCGUAGAGAUCCGGAGGAACACCGAAGGCGAAGGCAGUGUCCUGGCGCGUAACUGACGCUGAGGUGCGAAAGCCAGGGGAGCGAACGGG